GACGAACGCUGGCGGCGUGCUUAACACAUGCAAGUCGAGCGGUAAGGCCCUUUCGGGGGUACACGAGCGGCGAACGGGUGAGUAACACGUGGGUGACCUGCCCUCAGCUCUGGGAUAAGCCUGGGAAACUGGGUCUAAUACCGGAUAUGACUCCAUGACGCAUGUUGUGGGGUGGAAAGCCUUGUGCGGCUGAGGAUGGGCCCGCGGCCUAUCAGCUUGUUGGUGGGGUGAUGGCCUACCAAGGCGACGACGGGUAGCCGGCCUGAGAGGGCGACCGGCCACACUGGGACUGAGACACGGCCCAGACUCCUACGGGAGGCAGCAGUGGGGAAUCUUGCGCAAUGGGCGAAAGCCUGACGCAGCGACGCCGCGUGA
rnacentral:rRNA from 1 species